UGGGGAAUAUUGCGCAAUGGGAGAAAUCCUGACGCAGCGACGCCGCGUGAGUGAAGAAGUCUUUCGGGAUGUAAAGCUCUGUCAAGAGGGACGAUAAUGACGGUACCUCUGGAGGAAGCCCCGGCUAACUACGUGCCAGCAGCCGCGGUAAUACGUAGGGGGCGAGCGUUAUCCGGAUUUAUUGGGCAUAAAGGGCAUGUAGGUGGUUGAUUAAGUUAGUUGUGAAAUCCUGCGGCUCAACCGCAGUAAGCAAAUAAAACUGAUUAGCUAGAGAUCGGUAGAGGAAAGCGGAACUCAUAGUGGAGCGGUGAAAUGCGUAGAUAUUAUGAGGAACACCAGUUGCGAAGGCGGCUUUCUGGACCGAAUCUGACACUGAGGUGCGAAAGCGUGGGGAGCAAACAGG
rnacentral:rRNA from 1 species